AGUGAACGCUGGCGGUAGGCCUAACACAUGCCAGUCGAACGGCAGCACAGUAAGAGCUUGCUCUUACGGGUGGCGAGUGGCGGACGGGUGAGGAAUACAUCGGAAUCUACUUUUUCGUGGGGGAUAACGUAGGGAAACUUACGCUAAUACCGCAUACGACCUACGGGUGAAAGCAGGGGAUCUUCGGACCUUGCGCGAUUGAAUGAGCCGAUGUCGGAGUAGCUAGUUGGCGGGGUAAAGGCCCACCAAGGCGACGAUCCGUAGCUGGUCUGAGAGGAUGAUCAGCCACACUGGAACUGGGACACGGUCCAGACUCCUACGGGAGGCAGCAGUGGGGAAUAUUGGACAAUGGGCGCAAGCCUGAUCCAGCCAUACCGCGUGGGUGAAGAAGGCCUUCGGGUUGUAAAGCCCUUUUGUUGGGAAAGAAAAGCAGCAGGUUAAUACCCCGCUGUUCUGACGGUACCCAAAGAAUAAGCACCGGCUAACUUCGUG
rnacentral:rRNA from 1 species